UACGGGGGGGGCAAGCGUUGUUCGGAAUUACUGGGCGUAAAGGGCUCGUAGGCGGCCAACUAAGUCAGACGUGAAAUCCCUCGGCUUAACCGGGGAACUGCAUCUGAUACUGGAUGGCUUGAGAUUGGGAGAGGGAUGCGGAAUUCCAGGUGUAGCGGUGAAAUGCGUAGAUAUCUGGAGGAACACCGGUGGCGAAGGCGGCAUCCUGGACCGACACUGACGCUGAGGAGCGAAAGCCAGGGGAGCAAACGGGG
rnacentral:rRNA from 1 species